GAUGAACGCUAGCGGCAGGCCUAAUACAUGCAAGUCGAACGGAUAUAUGUUUUUCGGAAUAUAUAUUAGUGGCGCACGGGUGAGUAACACGUACAUAACUUGCCCUCAAGCGGGGGAUAGCCUUGGGAAACUGAGAGUAAUACCCCAUAGAAUUAUUGGACGGCAUCGUUUGAUAAUUAAAACUACGGUGUUUGGGGAUAGAUGUGCGUCUGAUUAGCUAGUUGGUGAGGUAACUGCUCACCAAGGCGACGAUCAGUAGGGGGCGUGAGAGCGUGGCCCCCCACACGGGUACUGAGACACGGACCCGACUCCUACGGGAGGCAGCAGUAAGGAAUAUUGGUCAAUGGAGGGAACUCUGAACCAGCCAUGCCGCGUGAAGGAUGACGGCCCUCUGGGUUGUAAACUUCUUUUGGAUGGGGCGAAAAAACGGGAUUUAUCCUGGACUGACGGUACCAUCAGAAUAAGCACCGGCCUAACUCCGUG
rnacentral:rRNA from 1 species